rnacentral:tRNA from 1 species
CCCCUCGUAGCCCAACGAUAGAGGCUGGCCCACUUAAAAGGGCUGAUCAGUGCGGGUCCGAAUCCCGUCGAGGGGA